rnacentral:tRNA from 1 species
GCCACCCUAGCUCAGUUGGUAGAGCAGCUCACUCGUAAUGAGCAGGUCAUCGGUUCGAGUCCGAUGGGUGGCU